rnacentral:rRNA from 1 species
CCUACGGGUGGCAGCAGUGAGGAAUAUUGGUCAAUGGGCGAGAGCCUGAACCAGCCAAGUCGCGUGAAGGAUGACGGCCCUACGGGUUGUAAACUUCUUUUGUCAGGGAGCAAUUGGGUCCACGCGUGGGCUUAGCGAGAGUACCUGAAGAAAAAGCAUCGGCUAACUCCGUGCCAGCCGCCGCGGUAAUACGGAGGCUGGGAGUGUUAUCCGGAUUUAUUGGGUUAAAAGGGUGCGUAGGCGGAAUAUCAGGUCAGCGGUAAAACUUCGGGGCUCAACCCCGUCGGGCCGUUGAAACUGAGGUGCUUGAGUGGGCGAGAGGUAGGCGGAAUGCGUGGUGUAGCGGUGAAAUGCAUAGAUAUCACGAAGAACUCCGAUUGCGAAGGCAGCAUACCGGCGCCCAACUGACGCUGAGGCACGAAAGCGGGGGUAUCGAACAGGAUUAGAUACCCCAGUAGUC